rnacentral:rRNA from 1 species
UACAGAGGUGGCAAGCGUUGUUCGGAAUUACUGGGCGUAAAGGGCGCGUAGGCGGUCUCGUAAGUCCUGUGUGAAAUCCCCCGGCUCAACUGGGGAACUGCACAGGAGACUGCUUGGCUUGAGUUCGGGAGAGGGAAGCGGAAUUCCGGGUGUAGCGGUGAAAUGCGUAGAUAUCCGGAGGAACACCGGUGGCGAAGGCGGCUUCCUGGACCGACCCUGACGCUGAGGCGCGAAGGCGUGGGGAGCGAACGGG